GAAGAUCAUCUUUCUACUCUCAGAUUUAAACAAGCAUGCUAUGAAUUCAUCUCAGUUUGCAGGAUCGUUUUGAAUCCUGAUUUUUCCGAUCUCAGUGAGCGAGAUUUGGUCUGGGAUUCAAUCCCAGGAUGGAAUCCUCAUGAAUGAAUUGUCAUUCUCUUUCAGCCAACAGGUUUUUUCGUGAAGAAAUAUAUCCUCCAUAGACCUUCUACUCUCCAGCAACUCCGCUUUCAUUGAAAUAGGAACGGAUAAUCCGUGUUUAUUCCGCCUGAUGUUCGACCGAUGUUUAAAAAAGAUUUGCCCAAAAGUGUUCAAACGAACUGUCCAGCAGCAAUAUCUUUGAUUUCUACAAGCCAUUUUAAGGAGUUUUGCAUGGGAAUUCAAAUGAAAAUGGCUCAAUCAGCGAUUCCAACUUAUUUCCAUGGCUUAUGAGUUCCUAUAGAAAUGGAAAGAUUCAAUAAAAAAAUACAUAUCAUUCCUUAGUUUUAGCAUUUGACAAGAAAAAUUUGAAAAAAAUAAAGAAAAAUGGACCAUCUACAAAGACUUACAUAAGUAGUACUAUGUUGCGCAUACCAGUAAGGUGUAUUUUUUUUUAGUUUUACGUUGUUCAUCAAUAACUUAACACGCAUUUGACGGGCUUUAAACUUCCAUCUCUUCGUUGUUAACUUAUUUUCGCAAAUGACUCUUAUGAAAUUUCAAACAACCCUCCCCUUUGAACUUCCUUGAAAACGAAAAAACUAGGGAUCGUUUGGCUUAGUUACUCAAGCGAGCCAGAAAAUUAGAGUUUAAAGUUUUCUAACAAAUACUUGAAAAAGACCAACGCGCUGAGAAGGAAUUUGAUGAAAUUAUUAUAAAUCAGUAUUAUUUCUACAACGCUUUCACAUUUAUUUAUUUAUAAUAAUAUUU